rnacentral:rRNA from 1 species
AGCGAACGCUGGCGGCAGGCCUAACACAUGCAAGUCGAACGAACCUUUCGGGGUUAGUGGCGGACGGGUGAGUAACACGUGGGAACGUGCCGUUAGGUUCGGAAUAACUCAGGGAAACUUGUGCUAAUACCGAAUGUGCCCUUCGGGGGAAAGAUUUAUCGCCUUUAGAGCGGCCCGCGUCUGUUUAGCUAGUUGGUUGAGGUAAUGGCUCACCAAGGCGACGAUCAGUAGCUGGUCUGAGAGGAUGAUCAGCCACAUUGGGACUGAGACACGGCCCAAACUCCUACGGGAGGCAGCAGUGGGGAAUCUUGCGCAAUGGGCGAAAGCCUGACGCAGCCAUGCCGCGUGAAUGAUGAAGGUCUUAGGAUUGUAAAAUUCUUUCACCGGGGACGAUAAUGACGGUACCCGGAGAAGAAGCCCCGGCUAACUUCGUG